UAAUGGCCUACCAAGGCGACGACGGGUAGCCGGCCUGAGAGGGUGACCGGCCACACUGGGACUGAGACACGGCCCAGACUCCUACGGGAGGCAGCAGUGGGGAAUAUUGCACAAUGGGCGCAAGCCUGAUGCAGCGACGCCGCGUGAGGGAUGACGGCCUUCGGGUUGUAAACCUCUUUCAGUAGGGAAGAAGCGAAAGUGACGGUACCUGCAGAAGAAGCGCCGGCUAAUUACGUGCCAGCAGCCGCGGUAAUACGUAGGGCGCAAGCGUUAUCCGGAAUUAUUGGGCGUAAAGAGCUCGUAGGCGGUUUGUCGCGUCUGCUGUGAAAGACCGGGGCUCAACUCCGGUUCUGCAGUGGGUACGGGCAGACUAGAGUGCAGUAGGGGAGACUGGAAUUCCUGGUGUAGCGGUGAAAUGCGCAGAUAUCAGGAGGAACACCGAUGGCGAAGGCAGGUUCUCUGGGCUGUAACUGACGCUGAGUGAGCGAAAGCAUGGGGAGCGAACAGGAUUAGAUACGCCUGGUAGUCCAUGCCGUAAACGUUGGGCACUAGGUGUGGGGGACAUUCCACGUUUUCCGCGCCGUAGCUAACGCAUUAAGUGCCCCGCCUGGGGAGUACGGCCGCAAGGCUAAAACUCAAAGGAAUUGACGGGGGCCCGCACAAGCGGCGGAGCAUGCGGAUUAAUUCGAUGCAACGCGAAGAACCUUACCAAGGCUUGACAUGAACCGGUAAUACCUGGAAACAGGUGCCCCGCUUGCGGUCGGUUUACAGGUGGUGCAUGGUUGUCGUCAGCUCGUGUCGUGAGAUGUUGGGUUAAGUCCCGCAACGAGCGCAACCCUCGUUCUAUGUUGCCAGCGGUUCGGCCGGGGACUCAUAGGAGACUGCCGGGGUCAACUCGGAGGAAGGUGGGGACGACGUCAAAUCAUCAUGCCCCUGAUGUGUUGGGCUUCACGCAUGCUACAAUGGCCGGUACAAAGGGUUGCGAUACUGUGAGGUGGAGCUAAUCCCAAAAAGCCGGUCUCAGUUCGGAUUGGGGUCUGCAACUCGACCCCAUGAAG
rnacentral:rRNA from 1 species